UACCAGCACCCCGAGUGGUCGGGACGUUUAUUGGGCCUAAAGCAUCCGUAGCCGGUUCUACAAGUCUUCCGUUAAAUCCACCUGCUUAACAGAUGGGCUGCGGAAGAUACUAUAGAGCUAGGAGGCGGGAGAGGCAAGCGGUACUCGAUGGGUAGGGGUAAAAUCCGUUGAUCCAUUGAAGACCACCAGUGGCGAAGGCGGCUUGCCAGAACGCGCUCGACGGCGGGGGAUGAAAGCUGGGGGAGCAAACCGG
rnacentral:rRNA from 1 species